GUAUUUUUACUAAUGGGAAAAUAUUCUGCAAUAUUAAUUUUAGGUCAUUUUCUUCUUUACUUUAACUUACAGCUACUUUGUUAUACUCCCUGUGCGUACCUCUGUGUCUAGAAGAGAAAGAAGAAGAAGGAACAAACAACCUGGACUUCUCACACAUUUUUCCUACCCUACACUAGGCAACAUUAGCCUGUUCUGUAUUUAAACCAAGAUACGGAACAGGGUAUGCAUAGCUCCAAGGAGAUGCCAGUCCUUGGCCUUCUGAUGGCAUUCAUUAACUACCACAUGAGCCCUUUUUUGGCUUGAAAACCAAGGUGAAGAAACCAGAGUACCAUGGAAGCAAAGAGCAGAGCUGAGGACCUAGGUGCAAGUCAAGGGCACUCAGCGACUGUGUUUCAGAAUAUCCCUGUGUGAGUCAUCAGGGGUGUCACAGACAGUGCGGCAGGGGUGGGAGACACAGCGCCACACCACCAUCUGCAGCAGCCUGAGAAAUUCUGUUAGGAGAUUUCCACUCAAGUGAAGCUGGGUUUCUCAACCUUACCACCGGAAAGAAUUUCUGGGUCCUCAUGUCGUGGUGACUCUUCAGUUGGAAGCUCUGCCUCAGCCCACUCCUCCCUCUCCAAACCCUGACUGCUCAGAAAGACCAUCAAAAGUCCAGGCUCCUCCCCCCAAAGCUCAAGACCACUCCUGCAGAGUAUUUAGGCUCCCGGUCCCUAGAUCUGCCAUCUCAAUUCUGGGGGGUUGAAAAGGUCACCUGAGAAUG